AAGAGCACACGGAGGAUGCCUAGGCGCUAGGAGCCGAUGAAGGACGUGGCGAACAACGAAACUGCCUCGGGGAGCUGUAAGCAAGCUUUGAUCCGGGGGUGUCCGAAUGGGGAAACCCGGCUGUGGUAAUACGCAGUCACCGCUGCCUGAAUAUAU
rnacentral:rRNA from 1 species